GACGAACGCUGGCGGCGUGCCUAACACAUGCAAGUCAACUUGACUGAAGGAGCAAUCUGACAGUAGAGUGGCGCAAGGGUGCGUAACGCGUAAGUAACUUGCCCCAAGGUAAGGAAUAACGUCGAGAAAUCGGCGCUAAUACCUCAUAAUGCAGCGGAUCCGCAUGGAUAUGUUGUUAAAGGUUUACCGCCUUGGGAUAGGCUUGCGUCUGAUUAGCUAGUUGGUGUGGUAACGGCACACCAAGGCUACGAUCAGUAACUGGUCUGAGAGGAUGAUCAGUCACACUGGAACUGAGACACGGUCCAGACUCUACGGGAGCAGCAGUGAGGAAUAUUGGGCAAUGCUCGAAAGAGUGACCCAGCAACGCCGCGUGGAGGAUGAAGGUAUUCUAUAUCGUAAACUCCUGUGAGAGCAGACGAAAGACAGAAUUAUUAAUCUGGAUGACUGUAUGCUCAGAGA
rnacentral:rRNA from 1 species